AUUUGCAGAAGUCGCUGUUGCUACACAAGACGUUUAAUCCAAGAUGGUGAUGGUAGGCCACGUGCAGAGGCGCUCAGACCUCUGAGCAGCGCAACUGCACAAGCCUCGCGAGAACUCCUUGCCUGUUGAGGAAAACCUCAAAUGCAGCCUCCGAGGGCCUGUUGGGAAGACUAUGGGUGCUAGAGUGAGAGCUCACACCUUUUCAGAACUGAACUCGAUAUUGUUUCAUUAGUACGAGUUACACCAGGAGGACACUUUUUGGAGCCUAACUGCCAAGGAUUGCUAACAAACUUUGGCCCACCCUGGCUCCAACAGGAAGACAGCAGAGACGUUGGGAGGUUUGUUUGAGGAUGCCUGGAUCUGGUUUCAGUUUACUGUGAUGGGGUACAAUGGCGUCAGCCUGCAGUUGAAUUCCGAGCAACUCUGCCCAACCACCUGAGAGUGGUGCACACACCGCAUUGCCCACAGGGUCGUCUGUACUGUUCAUCUGUAUCGUUGGGGGUUGAAGACAAACUCGCUGGAAUCUGCCUGCUGCCCCUGGCUGUCCUUCCUUCGGUGAAGGAUGCCCUGGAUGACGGGGACCUGUGGAUGAGAGGGAAGCCUCAACACUCUGCCCAUUGUCUCCCCUGAUUCCUGAACUAAGCAGUAGCAGAUGCACCAGCGCUUUUUGUGCUCCCAGCCUCCAAGAUUAACAGUAGAUUUUGCCUUGUCACUUCCGGUUUGGUAAAGAACGCUGAGCAGCCCUGAGAAGCCGCUGUUGCAGCACAAGAUGUGCAGCAGGAGCUGAGACCCAGAAAGGCCCAGGUAGUGAGGAUUAGCUGAUAAAACUGGUUGAAGAUGCUGGACCUGAAUUUCUGAAGUGAGCUUGAGGCACUUUGAGCCACUUAACCAGAUUCUGAGCUGCUGGUGAGAAGAGGAAACACUGACUUCCACCCUCUAGAGGCAAACCUUGGGUGUUUCUUCAUCGUUGGAGGUUCUUCAGGCUCUUCUCCCAGCAAUAGCACAGACUACCAGCUGCCCCAGUGAUCUGAGUACAUUGGACCAUAAACAAAAUGACUUUAAGAAUGAUCAUCAUGGUGACAUCUAAACACAUUAGGGUCUUUUCAGAUGAGUCAGCCUUUCACAUCAGGUGGUGAAAGUAUUGGAGUUUCAGCUUCAGCAUCAGGCCUUCCAAUGAAUAUCCAGGACGGAUUUCACUUAGGAUGGACUGGAUGGAUCUCCUGUAGCCCAAGGGACUCUCAAGAAUCUUCUCCAACACCACAGUUCAAAAGCAUCAGUUCUUCAGUGCUCAGCCUUCUUUAUAAUCCAACUCUCACAUCCAUACAUGACUACUGGAAAAACAAUAGCUUUGACAAUACAGACCUUUGAUGGCAAAGUAAUGUCUCUGCUUUUUAAUAUGCUGUCUAGGUUGGUCAUAACUUUUCUUCUAAGGAGCAAUCGUCUUAAUUACAUGGCUGCAGUGAUUUUGGAGUGAUCUGCAGAACUGAUUUUGCAGAUGUGAUCUGCAGUAAUUUUGGAGCCCUCAAAAAUAAAGUCUGUAACUGUUUCCACUGUUUCCACGUCUAUUUGCUCUGAAGUGAUGGGACCAGAUGCCAUGAACUUAGUGUUCUGAAUGUUGAGUUUUAAGCCAACUUUUUCACUCUCCUCUUUCACUUUCAUCAAGACUCUCUUCAGUUCUUCACUUUCUGCCAUAAGGGUGGUGUCAUCUGCAUAUCUUAAGUUAUUGUAUUUCUUCAGGCAGUCUUGAUUUCAGUUUGUGCUUCAUCCAGCCCAGUGUUUCUCAUGAUGUACUCGCAUAUAAGUUAGAGAAACAGGGUAAAAAUAAAUAGCCUUGAUGUACUUCUUUCCCUAUUUGGAACCAGUCUGUUGUUCCAUGUCCAGUUCUAACUGCUUCUUCCUGACCUGCAUACAGAUUUCUCAAGAGGCAGGUCAGGUGGUCUGGUAUUCCCAUCUCUCUCAGAAUUUUCCACAGUUUAUUGUGAUCCACACAGUCAAAGGCUUUGGCAUAGUCAAUAAAGCAGAAAUAGAUGUUUUUUCUGGAACUCUCUUCCUUUGUCCAUGAUCCAGCGGAUGUUGGCAAUUUGAUCUCUGGUUCCUCUGCCUUUUCUAAAACCAGCUUGAACAUCAGAGAGUUCACGGUUCACGUAUUGCUGAAUUACGGCUUGGACAAUUUUGAGCAUUACUUUACUAACAUGUGAG
ensembl:lncRNA